rnacentral:rRNA from 1 species
AUUGAACGCUAGCGGGAUGCCUUACACAUGCAAGUCGAACGGAGAGGCGAACGGGUGAGUAAUGCAUCGGAACGUGCCCAGUAGCGGGGGAUCACUACGCGAAAGCGGAGCUAAUACCGCAUACGUUUGGAGCGGCUGAUAUCGGAUUAGCUAGUUGGAGGGGUAACGGCUCACCAAGGCGACGAUCCGUAGCUGGUUUGAGAGGACGAUCAGCCACACUGGGACUGAGACACGGCCCAGACUCCUACGGGAGGCAGCAGUGGGGAAUUUUGGACAAUGGGGGAAACCCUGAUCCAGCAAUCCCGCGUGUGCGAUGAAGGCCUUCGGGUUGUAAAGCACUUUUGGCAGGGAAGCGGUACCUGCAGAAUAAGCACCGGCUAACUACGUGCCAGCAGCCGCGGUAAUUC